UCCAGGUGGCUCAGUGGUAAAGAAUCUGCCUGCAAUGCAGAAGACCCAGGUUCGAUCCCUGGAUCAGGAA
rnacentral:tRNA from 1 species